rnacentral:rRNA from 1 species
AUUGAACGCUGGCGGCAUGCCUUACACAUGCAAGUCGAACGGCAGCACGGGUGCUUGCACCUGGUGGCGAGUGGCGAACGGGUGAGUAAUAUAUCGGAACGUACCUUAUUGUGGGGGAUAACGCAGCGAAAGCCGUGCUAAUACCGCAUAAUCCCUAAGGGGGAAAGCGGGGGACCGUAAGGACGCGCGCAAUUAGAGCGGCCGAUACCUGAUUAGCUAGUUGGUGAGGUAAAGGCUCACAAAGGCAACGAUCAGUAGCUGGUCUGAGAGGACGAUCAGCCACACUGGGACUGAGACACGGCUCAGACUCCUACGGGAGGCAGCAGUGGGGAAUUUUGGACAAUGGGGGCAACCCUGAUCCAGCAAUGCCGCGUGAGUGAAGAAGGCCUUCGGGUUGUAAAGCUCUUUUGUCAGGGAAGAAACAGCAGCUCUAACACAGUAUGCGAAUGACGGUACCUGAAGAAUAAGCACCGGCUAACUACGUGCCAGCCGCCGCCGUAA